UACGUAGGGGGCUAGCGUUGUCCGGAAUCAUUGGGCGUAAAGCGCGUGCAGGCGGUUCGGUAAGUCCGCUGUGAAAGUCGGGGGCUCAACCCUCGAAAGCCGGUGGAUACUGUCGGACUAGAGUGCGGAAGAGGCGAGUGGAAUUCCUGGUGUAGCGGUGAAAUGCGCAGAUAUCAGGAGGAACACCAAUUGCGAAGGCAGCUCGCUGGGACGUUACUGACGCUGAGACGCGAAAGCGUGGGGAGCAAACAGG
rnacentral:rRNA from 1 species